ACGGAGGAUGCAAGCGUUAUCCGGAUUCAUUGGGUUUAAAGGGUCCGCAGGCGGGAUAAUAAGUCAGAGGUGAAAUCCUACGGCUCAACUGUAGAACUGCCUUUGAUACUGUUAUCCUAGAGUGUAGUUGAUGUGGGCGGAAUAUGUCAUGUAGCGGUGAAAUGCUUAGAUAUGACAUAGAACACCGAUCGCGAAGGCAGCUCACAAAGCUACAACUGACGCUCAGGGACGAAAGCGUGGGGAUCAAACAG
rnacentral:rRNA from 1 species